CUAUGCGCCUUGCCAGCCCGCUCAGGUGUGCCAGCCGCCGCGGUAAUACGUAGGUGGCAAGCGUUAUCCGGAAUUAUUGGGCGUAAAGAGCGCGCAGGUGGUUAAUUAAGUCUGAUGUGAAAGCCCACGGCUUAACCGUGGAGGGUCAUUAGAAACUGGUUGACUUGAGUGCAGAAGAGGGGAGUGGAAUUCCAUGUGUAGCGGUGAAAUGCGUAGAGAUAUGGAGGAACACCAGUGGCGAAGGCGGCUUCCUGGUCUGCAACUGACACUGAGGCGCGAAAGCGUGGGGAGCAAACAGG
rnacentral:rRNA from 1 species